UACGUAGGGCGCAAGCGUUGUCCGGAAUUAUUGGGCGUAAAGAGCUCGUAGGCGGUUUGUCGCGUCUGCUGUGAAAACCUGAGGCUCAACCUCGGGCUUGCAGUGGGUACGGGCAGACUAGAGUGCGGUAGGGGUGACUGGAAUUCCUGGUGUAGCGGUGGAAUGCGCAGAUAUCAGGAGGAAUACCGGUGGCGAAGGCGGCAUCCUGGACCGGCAUUGACGCUGAGGAGCGAAAGCUAGGGGAGCAAACGGG
rnacentral:rRNA from 1 species